rnacentral:rRNA from 1 species
CCUACGGGCGGCAGCAGUGGGGAAUAUUGCACAAUGGGCGAAAGCCUGAUGCAGCAACGCCGCGUGAAGGAAGAAGGUCUUCGGAUUGUAAACUUCUAUUAAUAGGGAAGAAAGAAAUGACGGUACCUAAAUAAGAAGCCUCGGCUAACUACGUGCCAGCAGCCGCGGUAAUACGUAGGAGGCAAGCGUUAUCCGGAAUUACUGGGUGUAAAGGGGGAGUAGGUGGGAAGGUAAGGUAGAUGUGUAAGUCGUAGGCUUAACUUAAGGAUUGCAAAACGAACUAGCGAGCUAGAGUGCAGGAGAGGAAAGCGGAAUUCCUAGUGUAGCGGUGAAAUGCGUAGAUAUUAGGAAGAACACCAGUGGCGAAGGCGGCUUUCUGGACUGAAACUGACGCUGAGGCUCGAAAGCGUGGGGAGCGAACAGGAUUAGAUACCCUUGUAGUC